rnacentral:rRNA from 1 species
UUUUAUGAGAGUUUGAUCCUGGCUCAGGACGAACGCUGGCGGCGUGCCUAAUACAUGCAAGUCGAACGCUUCUUUUUCCACCGGAGCUUGCUCCACCGGAAAAAGAGGAGUGGCGAACGGGUGAGUAACACGUGGGUAACCUGCCCAUCAGAAGGGGAUAACACUUGGAAACAGGUGCUAAUACCGUAUAACAAUCGAAACCGCAUGGUUUUGAUUUGAAAGGCGCUUUCGGGUGUCGCUGAUGGAUGGACCCGCGGUGCAUUAGCUAGUUGGUGAGGUAACGGCUCACCAAGGCCACGAUGCAUAGCCGACCUGAGAGGGUGAUCGGCCACAUUGGGACUGAGACACGGCCCAAACUCCUACGGGAGGCAGCAGUAGGGAAUCUUCGGCAAUGGACGAAAGUCUGACCGAGCAACGCCGCGUGAGUGAAGAAGGUUUUCGGAU